UGAUGAAAUAAACACAGACCUGUAUUGAAUUUAAAUGAAAAUAAAGUCUUACUGAUUGCUUAUAGAUGUAGUUAAUAUAUUUGUCAUAUUUUAGUAUUGAUGUAAUGUCUUGAAUUUAGGGUCCAUUGUGCCGUCAUUUUACCUGACAUGCUUGACAAGUGGCUCCGAAAGUUAGAGGGCGUAAGAAAAAGGGUUAUGGAGAGGAACAAGAUAAAUCAUUCUAGGAAUGAGGUUGGAUUAAAUGGAAGUCCAGGAUGAUGCCAUGGCUCCCCAUUGGAAGUUUGUAAAUUUUUACGGGAUUUCAAACAAUUCACAGAUGGAACCGACCGGAGGACUCAACAUAAGGAUGAGUUCUAACGCCUGCAAAUUAGGACUACAUAGAGAAUGAGAUCUGACACUGGUGAUUUCUGACAGGUAUGAAUCAUUCCCCAUGUGACUCCACAUUUUGUGAAGGAGGCAGCAGA